AUGGAUGCGACGAUCGGCGACCCGUUGUUGGCGGCAUCCGUGGAGCGGGCGUUUGAGAAGCAGCCCCUGCCCGGGUUAUGGGAGCAGGUGACACCACGGGCAGUGAUCGUCUCGGUGGUGCUCUCAAUUGUCUUUGGCUUCGUGAUCCUAAAGAUCCACAUGUCGACCGGCGUGGUACCUGGUAUGAACAUGGCAGUCAGCGUCCUCAGCUUCACCUUACUCAAGUGGUUUGUCAGCUUGGUUCGGACGUGCGGCCUCUCAACAUCGCCUUUCACGCGCCAGGAGAACCUAUUGGUGCUGACCACCGUCGUUACAGUCAUCAACUUGGCCAUCACUGAUCAGAGUGUCGGGUCAUAG
rnacentral:rRNA from 1 species